GCUUACGGCCAUACCAAACUGGCUAUGCCCGAUCUCGUCUGCUCUCCGAAGCUAAGCAGGUUUGGGCCUGGUUAGUACUUGGAUGGGAGACCGCCUGGGAAUACCAGGUGCUGUAAGCU
ensembl:rRNA 5S_rRNA 5S ribosomal RNA